rnacentral:rRNA from 1 species
GAUGAACGCUGGCGGCGUGCCUAAUGCAUGCAAGUCGAGCGAACGGACGAGAAGCUUGCUUCUCUGAUGUUAGCGGCGGACGGGUGAGUAACACGUGGAUAACCUACCUAUAAGACUGGGAUAACUUCGGGAAACCGGAGCUAAUACCGGAUAAUAUUUUGAACCGCAUGGUUCAAAAGUGAAAGACGGUCUUGCUGUCACUUAUAGAUGGAUCCGCGCUGCAUUAGCUAGUUGGUAAGGUAACGGCUUACCAAGGCAACGAUGCAUAGCCGACCUGAGAGGGUGAUCGGCCACACUGGAACUGAGACACGGUCCAGACUCCUACGGGAGGCAGCAGUAGGGAAUCUUCCGCAAUGGGCGAAAGCCUGACGGAGCAACGCCGCGUGAGUGAUGAAGGUCUUCGGAUCGUAAAACUCUGUUAUUAGGGAAGAACAUAUGUGUAAGUAACUGUGCACAUCUUGACGGUACCUAAUCAGAAAGCCACGGCUAACUAUGUG